rnacentral:rRNA from 1 species
AUUGAACGCUGGCGGCAGGCCUAACACAUGCAAGUCGGGCGAGCCGCGGACGUGUGAGUAAUGUAUGGGGUUCUUCCUGAUGGCUGGGGAUAACUACUGGAAACGGUACCUAAUACCCCUUCCCCUCAUAUGACCCCAUCUGGGAUUAGCUAGUAGGUAAUGUAACGGCUUACCUAGGCGACGAUCCCUAGCUGGUCUGAUAGGAUGAUCAGGAACCGGGGGAAGGAGACAAGGCGCAGACUGCUACGGGAGGAAGCAGUGGGGAAUAUAGAACAAUGGGCGCAAGCCUGAAGUAGCCAUGCCGCGUGUAUGAAGAAGGCCUUCGGGUUGUAAAGUACGUUAAGUCGGGAGGCGUUACCGACAGAAGAAGCACCGGCUAACUCCGUGCCAGCAGCCGCGGUAAUAC